UACGUAGGCAGCAAGCGUUGUUCGGAAUUACUGGGCGUAAAGAGUGUGUAGGCGGUGCUCUAAGUUCGGUGUGAAAUCUCCCGGCUCAACUGGGAGGGUGCGCCGGAAACUGGGGGUGCUGGAGCGCGGGAGAGGAAAGCGGAAUUCCUGGUGUAGCGGUGAAAUGACGUAGAUAUCAGGAGGAACACCGGCGGUGUGAGACGGCUUUCUGGACCGUAGCUGACGCUGAGACACGAAAGCGUGGGUAGCAAACAGG
rnacentral:rRNA from 1 species